GAUGAACGCUGGCGGCGUGCCUAAUACAUGCAAGUCGAGCGAACAGAUGAGAAGCUUGCUUCUCUGAUGUUAGCGGCGGACGGGUGAGUAACACGUGGGUAACCUACCUAUAAGACUGGGAUAACUCCGGGAAACCGGGGCUAAUACCGGAUAAUAUUUUGAACCGCAUGGUUCAAUAGUGAAAGACGGUUUCGGCUGUCACUUAUAGAUGGACCCGCGCCGUAUUAGCUAGGUGGUAAGGUAACGGCUUACCAAGGCGACGAUACGUAGCCGACCUGAGAGGGUGAUCGGCCACACUGGAACUGAGACACGGUCCAGACUCCUACGGGAGGCAGCAGUAGGGAAUCUUCCGCAAUGGGCGAAAGCCUGACGGAGCAACGCCGCGUGAGUGAUGAAGGUCUUCGGAUCGUAAAACUCUGUUGUUAGGGAAGAACAAAUUUGUUAGUAACUGAACAAGUCUUGACGGUACCUAACCAGAAAGCCACGGCUAACUACGUGCCAGCAGCCGCAGUAA
rnacentral:rRNA from 1 species